rnacentral:rRNA from 1 species
GACGAACGCUGGCGGCGUGCUUAACACAUGCAAGUCGACCGGAAAGACCCUGCUUUUGUGGGGUGCUCGAGUGGCGAACGGGUGAGUAACACGUGAGUAACCUGCCCUUGACUUUGGGAUAACUUCAGGAAACUGGGGCUAAUACCGGCUAGGUGCUCCUGCUGCAUGGUGGGGGUUGGACAGUUUCGGCGGUUGGGGCUGGACUCGCGGGUUAUCAGCUUGUUGGUGGGGUAGUGGCUUACCAAGGCUUUGACGGGUAGCCGGCCUGAGAGGGUGACCGGCCACAUUGGGACUGAGAGACGGCCCAGACUCCUACGGGAGGCAGCAGUGGGGAAUAUUGCACAAUGGGCGGAAGCCUGAUGCAGCAACGCCGCGUGCGGGAUGACGGCCUUCGGGUUGUAAACCGCUUUCGCCUGUGACGAAGCGUGAGUGACGGUAAUGGGUAAAGAAGCACCGGCUAACUACGUG